rnacentral:rRNA from 1 species
AUUGAACGCUGGCGGCAGGUCUAACACAUGCAAGUCGAACGAGUGGCGGACGGGUGAGUAAUGUCUGGGAAACUGCCUGAUGGAGGGGGAUAACUAAUGGAAACGGUAGCUAAUACCGCAUACCAUCGGAUGUGCCAAGAUGGGAUUAGCUUGUUGGUGGGGUAACUGCUCACCAAGGCGCCGAUCCCUAGCUGGCCUGGGAGGAUGACCAGCCACACUGGAACUGAGACACGGGCCAGACUCCUCCGGGAGGCAGCAGUGGGGAAUAUUGCACAAUGGGCGCAAGCCUGAUGCAGCCAUGCCGCGUGUAUGAAGAAGGCCUUCGGGUUGUAAAGUACUUUCAGCGGGGAGGCGUUACCCGCAGAAGAAGCACCGGCUAACUCCGUGCCAGCAGCCGCGGUAAUAC